AAAAAAAAAAAAACGUGGAUAACCUACCUAUAAUACUGGGAUAACUUCGGGAAACCGGAGCUAAUACCGGAUAAUAUAUUGAACCGCAUGGUUCAAUAGUGAAAGACGGUUUUGCUGUCACUUAUAGAUGUAUCCGCUCCGCAGUAGCUAGUUGGUACGGUAACGGCUUACCAAGCCAACGAUGCGUAGCCGGACUGAGAGGAGGAUCAGUCACACUGGAACUGGGACACGGUCCAGAUGCUGACGGGAGGCAGAAGUAGGGAAGCUUCCGACAGGGGCGAAAGCAUGAAGGAGCAAGGACGCGUGGUGUAUGAAGGUUUUUGUUUUUU
rnacentral:rRNA from 1 species